UGUUUAAUUUUAUAUAUAGUAACAUCAUACAUACCACAUAACAUUUUUGGUUUUAUAUAAUCUUUUCUAAAUUAGGAUGAUUUGAUAUGUUUAAUAUUAGUGGUCUUAAGAAUAAUUAAUUAAAGAUUUAACCCGUAUUGAAACGGUGGAUUAAUUAUAUUUUACUUUUUUAUUAAUAUUGAUUCAAAAACCCGUCCCUCCAAAUCCAUCUUGCCAAAAAGCCAUUUAUUUUAUUAAUAUUAAUUUUAUUUAUGAUAUGACUCUGAAUUAUAAUCUAAAUAUUUUAGCUAAUAACAUAGGAGUACACCAUAUUUAUUUAAUAGGAGAAUGUACCAUAUGACCCGAAUGCACUUUUAUCCAAAUCUACCAAAACAGUCUUGCAAAAAUACUAUAGAGAUAAAAAAACAAUAGUCGGAUUUGAUAGGUAUAAGAUUAGCAAAUAUAUUAAUUAGCAAAUAUACGCUAAUUAACUUGAUUAAUGGGACUUCGUUUCACAGUUCCUUAGCAAAUCACCUGGAGGACAUCAGUUUUUGGGCAAAUAAAUUUGCAAGCAUUCAGUUUGGUUUUAUUAGGAGAAAGGGAAACAAAUUAGCUCAUGUCUUAGCGAAAUAUGGUUGUACUUAUUCUACUUUUUAUUCUGGUUCUGGUUCUUUACCUAUUUGGCUUGAUCGAUACUUUUGUAAUGACCCUAAUUGAUUAAUAUAAUUGUUUUGACGUAAAAAAAAAAAUAUAUUAGUUAGCUUAAAUUAGUUAAAAAAUAUAAAUUGAAAAGGUAUAUUACACUUUAUUCGAAUAUAGUAUCAAAACUUAUAUAACACAGAGAUUUGAUAAUUUUUUAAUUGUUGAAUAUUUUUUUUUGUGCUAAUUUUUAUGUGACUAAGAUUUAAUUGAUUUUGUAUAUAAAAUAUUAAAUUGUUUUACGAACUUUUUGUUUAUAAUUUGGUAACAGAUAGAUAUUUGAACAUUCAGUAUAUUUUGCUUCAGUUUAGGAAAUCUUUGAUGACCCGUCUUUAGAUCCAAUAAGCCCUACAACUAAGAGAUGAAUAUUAUCGUUAAAUAAUUUUGGUAACCUUAACGAUAUCAUUAAAGGAUUUUGUUUUUGAUUAAAUUU
rnacentral:sRNA from 1 species